GCCUGCGGCCACACCACCUUGAAUAAGCCCGAUCUCAGAAGCUAAGCAUCGUUGGGCUUGGUUAGUACUUGGAUGGGAGACCACCUGGGAAUAUCAAGUGCUGUAGGCAUU
rnacentral:rRNA from 1 species